AGUGAACGCUGGCGGUAGGCCUAACACAUGCCAGUCGAACGGCAGCACAGUAAGAGCUUGCUCUUACGGGUGGCGAGUGGCGGACGGGUGAGGAAUACAUCGGAAUCUACCUUUUCGUGGGGGAUAACGUAGGGAAACUUACGCUAAUACCGCAUACGACCUACGGGUGAAAGCAGGGGAUCUUCGGACCUUGCGCGAUUGAAUGAGCCGAUGUCGGAUUAGCUAGUUGGCGGGGUAAAGGCCCACCAAGGCGACGAUCCGUAGCUGGUCUGAGAGGAUGAUCAGCCACACUGGAACUGAGACACGGUCCAGACUCCUACGGGAGGCAGCAGUGGGGAAUAUUGGACAAUGGGCGCAAGCCUGGUCCAGCCAUACCGCGUGGGUGAAGAAGGCCUUCGGGUUGUAAAGCCCUUUUGUUGGGAAAGAAAAGCAGCAGGUUAAUACCCCGCUGUUCUGACGGUACCCAAAGAAUAAGCACCGGCUAACUUCGUG
rnacentral:rRNA from 1 species